CGGCGGACGGGUGAGUAACGCGUGGGUAACCUACCUCAUACAGGGGAUAACAGUUGGAAACGGCUGCUAAUACCGCAUAAGCGCACAGUACCGCAUGGUACCGUGUGAAAAACUCCGGUGGUAUGAGAUGGACCCGCGUCUGAUUAGCUAGUUGGUGGGGUAACGGCCUACCAAGGCGACGAUCAGUAGCCGACCUGAGAGGGUGACCGGCCACAUUGGGACUGAGACACGGCCCAA
rnacentral:rRNA from 1 species